UUGUAUACAUUUAAUAAUUGAGUUUUUUUCUUCGUCAACGUCUACCCAUUCAACUUAUUAAAAGGGUUAAUGUCAUAAAAACCAUCAAGUUUUCAGGGUUUUGUCGGUUUUACCCAAAGUUGAAAUUUAUGUUCGUUUUUACCCAAACAUUUUCGAAAAAAAUGUUCGGUUUUACCAUUUUACUAGUGAUAACAGGUUUUCUAGGUUACCAUUAUAUUAAAUUCACAAAAAAAACCCUUAAGUUUACCAUUUUUUACGUUUUUACCCUUAAUUUUAUAAUUUUUUUAUACUUUUACUCUAAGUAUAUUUUUUUCAUAGUAUACAUAUUCAUAUGAUUUUUCUACUUGAAUACGUAUAAUAUGAAAAAAAAAAUACAUAGAGUAAAAGUGUAAAAAAAAUUAUAAACUUAAGGGUAAAAACGUAAAAAAAACUGUAAACUUAAGGGUUUUUUGCGAAGUUAAUAUAAUGGUAACCUGUUCUCACCGGUAAAAAGGUAAAACCGAACAUUUUUUGGAAAAUGUUAGGGUAAAAACGAACAUAAAAUUCAACUUUGGGCAAAACCGACAAAACCCUGAAAACUUGAGGGUUUUUAUGACAUUACCCCAUGAAACUGUACACAUUCAGUCCUUAUGACCGGUUACUCCAUGUUAGUAAGGAAAAAUGACUUAAUAUGGUAAUAUAUUUGUUUUUGUAUUCAUUCAUUACUUAUGAAUGAUUUAUUUAGGUUUUUCUCACAACAUCUUAUGUGGGACAAUCAUUGAUGAGGUGUUGGUGUUAAUGAUUAUGUCUAUCGCGAUCUCGACUAAUUAAUUGUGUCGACCUUGUUGUUUGGCUUAGGUCUUGUGUUAUAAACGUCGUAACUUCUUCAUACGAUAUUAGAUUUUAAUGAUUUUUAUAUCCAUGUGUUUUUUUAGUCUACUACAACUUUCGUUAAGAUUACUCCCAUUAAAAUGUAAUAAAUUUUUACUUAUGAUUUAUAUAUAAAAAAACAUCCAUAGAUGUAUUCAUAAAAAAAGUAUCGAUAUAAAGACCGUAACUAAAAAUAUAUUAUUUUUUAACGGAAGCACUCUAAACAAAAAGUUGUAGUAGACUAAAAUACGAACAUGUGGAUAUAAAAAUCGUUAAAAUCCGAGAUCGUAUGAAGAAGUUAUAAUGUUCAUAACACAUGACCUAAGCAACCAAGUAAUCGAGAUCGCGAUGUACAUAAACAUCAAAAGCCUAAACACUCAUUAAUGAUUGUCGCAAGUAAGAUGUCGAGAAAAAACCUAAAAAAAUCAUUAAUAAUUACUAAAUGAUUACAAAAAAAAUAUUAAUG
rnacentral:lncRNA from 1 species